AUACGGAGGGUGCAAGCGUUACUUGGAAUCACUGGGCGUAAAGCGCGCGCAGGCGGUCUUUUAAGUUGGAUGUGAAAGCCUACGGCUCAACCGUAGAACUGCAUCCAAAACUAUUAGACUAGAGUGUGGGAGAGGAAGAUGGAAUUAGUUGUGUAGGGGUAAAAUCCGUAGAGAUAACUAGGAAUACCAAAAGCGAAGGCAAUCUUCUGGAACACUACUGACGCUGAGGCGCGAAAGCGUGGGGAGCAAACAGGAUUAGAAACCCUAGUAGUCC
rnacentral:rRNA from 1 species